UGAGGAGCUGCUAGACGGUUCUUUCAUUAACUGAAGUGUUGCAGCAAAUUCUGCUAAUGAGCUUGUGCCUCACAUGUGUAAAACCUGUCUGUGCUGCAAGGAGCAUCAGGGGAAAGAUGCCCCCAGACCCCUCUGUUAGGAGUUGCUCUGUAUUUCAUAACACUGCACAGGAUUUGAUCAAUGCUUCGUCUUCUUUCAGCUGCCAGGAAGGUUUCAGCCUCAUCAAGCUCUGAUGCCCACCCGAGGUGUCUGGGAGGUGCUGAGGAAUCCGGUUAACAGCUUCAAUGGUCAAAAGUUUCAAGAUCCAAAGACUAAAACACGGAGAACGCCGUCUGCUGGUUUUCUGAUGCACAUCUGGAUGUAGCGAACAGCGCGAGUACCAACUGCACCAACGGGAUGAAGUCCCAAAGAGAAAAACAAAAUGCUGCGUUCAUGUGCUGUGGAAAUGAUCAGAAAAAUUCUGCCUUUGCCCACCAGUAGUCGGGACAGCCUCCAGUGGGUUAAGAAAACAGAUGGAAGUCCAGAAAAUACUCACAUUGAGCGGCCAUAUUGGGGCAAUUUUCUACCCUUUGAGUCACAUGACGAAAACUGAGUCCCUGAUUGGUUGACGCGGCCCAAGACUUCUGAUUGUCUAUGUAUGUAUGUACAUUAAACUUGAUGCUCCUGCCGUGCAUAUCUCACCCAGUGAGCAUGCACUCCUUAUUUAUUUAUCCCUGCAACAUUACAAUAUUUAAAAAAUCCUCUUUUAGCCAUUGAAGGAGGUGUAGCAGCCCUACCUG